rfam:Planctomycetes bacterium RBG_13_63_9 RBG_13_scaffold_3556, whole genome shotgun sequence.
GUGGCUGUAGCUCAGCUGGUUAGAGCGCUGGAUUGUGGAUCCAGAAGUCGUGGGUUCGAAUCCCAUCAGCCACC